rnacentral:rRNA from 1 species
UACGAAGGGUGCAAGCGUUAAUCGGAAUUACUGGGCGUAAAGCGCGCGUAGGUGGUUCAGUAAGUUGGAAGUGAAAUCCCCGGGCUCAACCUGGGAACUGCUUUCAAAACUGCUGAGCUAGAGUACGGUAGAGGGUAGUGGAAUUUCCUGUGUAGCGGUGAAAUGCGUAGAGAUUUGGAGGAAUACCAGUGGCGAAGGCGACCACCUGGACUGAUACUGACACUGAGGUGCGAAAGCGUGGGGAGCAAACAGG